GACGAACGCUGGCGGCGUGCCUAAUACAUGCAAGUUGAGCGCUGAAGGUUGGUACUUGUACCAACUGGAUGAGCAGCGAACGGGUGAGUAACGCGUGGUGAAUCUGCCUUUGAGCGGGGGACAACAUUUGGAAACGAAUGCUAAUACCGCAUAAAAACUUUAAACACAAGUUUUAAGUUUGAAAGAUGCAAUUGCAUCACUCAAAGAUGAUCCCGCGUUUUAUUAGCUAGUUGGUGAGGGAAAGGCUCACCAAGGCGAUGAUACAUAGCCGACCUGAGAGGGGGAUCGGCCAAAUUGGGACGGGGACACGGCCCAAAACCCUACGGGAGGCAGCAGUAGGGGAGUCUCGGCAAAGGAGGAAAGGCUGAACGAGGAACGCCGGGUGAAUGAAGGAGGUUUUCGGAUCGUAAAACUCUGGUGGUAGAGAAGAAAGUUGGUGAGAGUGAAAAGCGCAUAAAGUGACGGUAACUAACCAGAAAGCGACGGCUAACUACGUG
rnacentral:rRNA from 1 species